CCAAAGUUCAAAGCCCAUUAUCAAACAUUAGUAAGACUCAAUCUCCUGCUCUUUAUAAUGGAGACAACACCACAUACCAAGGUUUUUGUGAAAAUCAAGUGAGAUGGAAACUAUCAUAGCAACCGUAUUCAAGGAAUUAUUUAUGAAAAUUGGAGAGUUCUGAAGCAUCAGUGGAACUUGAGAUUUAAGAAAUAAUAAUAAAAACAAGAAAUAAUAAAAACAAGAAACUGACUUGUGUGCAAGGCUGCUGCUCUUACUUGAAAGUUGUUUGUGAUCUGGAAAAAAAAUCUCAAAAGUGACUAUUCCCGGAUAUUUUUCCUUAUACACGUAACAAGAAUUAAAGAAUAAUUUAAUUAUUA